AAUUGAGGUGCAUCGAGAAAAGACGGGGGGAGUGGGCUCCUUGCUAGUUCCGCCACUGCUUUCCACUGGAUUCGUCACAAAUUCCCACUGGAAGGAACAACGAAGAAAAGAACUGGACACCCGCGACGAGGUGACAUGGUGUCAAGCCGCCGUCCUAGCUCUCCGGUGAAGCCACCACCUCAUUUUUUCAAGAUAAUACACUCUCCGCACGAGAAGCUGAAAAUCCCAAGAAAAUUUACGAGUACCUACGGGAAGGAUCUAGCGAACCAUGUUUUUCUAAAGGUUCCCGAUGGUAUGGUGUGGAAAGUAGAACUGAUAAAAUCUGAUGAGGAUGCUUGGUUAUGCAAUGGUUGGAAAGAAUUCGCAGGGCAUUACUCCGUAUGCUUCGGGCACUUUUUGGUUUUCAGAUACGAUGGGGAUUCCAAUUUUCAUGUCAUUAUAUUUGAUAUGACAGCUUCAGAGAUAGAAUAUCCAUUCCGUGCCACUUGCGGUGAUGAAACCGACGCGAACCAUAUGGGGAAUUCGCAAGUGCCUGACACUGAAGGAAUUGAAGAAGAUGAUUAUGGUAAAAUCACUAGUACUGAAUUAAAGCUACCAAGUCCAAAUAAAAAGGCUGUCAAGCGCCAGGAAAGUAGAAGAGGCCCUGCCAAAAGACCCCGACACGGUCCAUCUACUGUCAAAAAGCCAUUUUUAUCCGGCAAUGAGAAAUCUAGGGCUCUUGAAAGAGCCAGAGCUUUUAGAUCUGCAAAUCCUUACUUCACAAAAAUUAUGCGGCCAUCUUAUGUUUCUACUAGAUAUUACUAUUUUUAUCUACCGACGAAGUUCUCAAAGCAAAAUCUAAGUGAAAAACCAGAGAAGGUGGUACUGCAGAGUUCAAACGGGGGAGUAUGGCCUGUAAAGUGCCGUUGUGGAGGACGUGGCAGAUACGUUCUAUAUUGGAAGUCAUUUGUACAGGCCAACAAUGUGAAAGCCAACGAUGUUUGUGUCUUUGAAUUGAUUAAGAGCAUUGAACCUCGUCUGAAUGUCACAAUAUUUCGAAAGUAGCCUAAUUGCUAUGGCUCUAGAGGAAUAAGAUGCAAAAUUUUGCUGAUCCAAAUUGUAAAAUGAGAAGCUGAGGAUUCUCAGAAAAGUUAUAGGUGAAUAUGGGAAGAAUCAGGGGGACCUCAUAUUUCUCAAGGUUCCAAUGGUGUCGUAUGGCAAGUCGAAUUGAAAAAAUCAAAUGAUGACAUUCGUGAUGCAAGAGUACUACUCUAUGCAGCAGGUGCAUUUUUCGGGUGCUUCGAGAUUGUCAGUAGAAGAAUGUAUUGGAGGGGUGUUCUGUAGCCGUACACACCAGCAAAUCUCAAAUUCCUGUCAAAAAGAAUCAGCACCAACCAAUAUUAAGAACUCUAGAGCCCUCGAAAGAGCCCAGAAUCUCAAAUCUGAAAAAACUCUUUAUUCAUGGUUUACAUGCAUCCGUCUUAUGUUGCUGGCAAAUACAGUUUGGUAAGCUUUCAAUUAAAUUUUCUUUGGAUUUGUGUACUGGUUAGGACUUAGGAAGCAAUGAUGCUUCCAUAUUACUCCAUAAAUCUCACAUAAAAGAUGCUUGUUUAAUACUCUACAUUCUUGAAGAAAAUAUACUUAUGGCCUUUGAACCAUAAGAGUGUGAUAUUACAAGUUUCAGAUGGCCGGGAGGACGAGGUCUAUAAUCCUGCGGCAAGAAGUUGCACACACACGCUCGGCUAGAUCUCAUUUGCGCAGGAAAACUAUUUGAAAGUCGUUGAUGUUUGCAUCUUUAACUUGAUGAUUAAGGGAAUUGUACCUCGGCUGAAUGUCAUCCCAUCUGGAUCCGUGGCUAGAACUUGGUUUGUGGCUAGUGCCGAGACUGAUACAGAUCUAAAGCAAAAGAAUGCAUUGACCAACGUACGUUGAUGUUUAUAUUGUGCGCGUCUCGAUCAAAAGAUUGGUUUGGCAACUGCAUUGAGCUUUGUGGUGAAUCUUUAUGAAGUGCUAUUUUUGCAGCAUAUGUUAACGUUUAUAUGUGCGCAUUUUGAUCAAAUUGGUUAUGUUGCGUUUCAAA